UCGUCAAAUAGGCUCUUAUGCUAGAUUUCAUUAUACAGGUUUUCCAAAUGACUUGUUAGCAAGGCUUUCCAUAUAAGACUUCGUAUAAGACUUACAUAAUUCACCAAACAAGCUUUCCAGAUAAUUUAUCGCUCAGUUUUUCUAGAUUACUUUGCCAUUAAAGCUAUUCAGGUAUUUCACCACAAAGGCUUUUCGGAUCAUCCAUGUUGCAGGCCAAUUAUGGCCCAAAUACAACCCAAUUACUCAAACCCCUUAAAACCCAAUACAAAACAGCCCAAACUACUAACCCUAGCCCAGACCAAUAAUAAAAAAUAGUAAAGAAAAAAAAGAACCCUGGCCACCCCAUGAUGUUUGCCACCCCACGCCUCUGCAGUACCAUUCCCAGGCAUCACACACUCCCACCAACUCCUCCAUACCCUGCAAAAUGAAACAAACACCAAGACAGAAGCAGACAACACAAGAGCAGUAGCAAGAGGCUUAAAAUAUCGUUUUGAAAUGGCUAUAAGAGGGGGAUUUUAGAGAAGGAUCGAUAGUGUUUUAGGGGAAAAACCGAUUGUAAAUAAGUUUUUUUUGUUUUCAAAUACAAAAGAAGAGGGAUUGUAUUACACAGAUUAUUAAUCAAAAGGAGAAGGAAAAAGGGAAUAAAAAAAACACAAAAGUCGGAUUUAAUACAAAUACGAAGUAUAAGAGAGGAAGGAGAGGUCUUACCGGAGUCAUGCUCGUGCCGUCGGCGACCAUGAGGCCUGGGAUCUUGAUGGAGGCGGAGUCCGACGGAAAUGGGAAGAGAGAUGAGAGAGCAUUUGAAAGUUUUUUUAAGUUUUUUAAAAGAUGCAGAUGUGAAAAUGGUGUUU
rnacentral:lncRNA from 1 species